rnacentral:rRNA from 1 species
CCUACGGGAGGCAGCAGUGGGGAAUAUUGCACAAUGGGGGAAACCCUGAUGCAGCGACGCCGCGUGAGUGAAGAAGUAUUUCGGUACGUAAAGCUCUAUCAGCAGGGAAGAAAAUGACGGUACCUGACUAAGAAGCCCCGGCUAACUACGUGCCAGCAGCCGCGGUAAUACGUAGGGGGCAAGCGUUAUCCGGAUUUACUGGGUGUAAAGGGAGCGUAGACGGCAGCGCAAGUCUGGAGUGAAAUCCCAUGGCUUAACCAUGGAACUGCUUUGGAAACUGUGCAGCUAGAGUGCAGGAGAGGUAAGCGGAAUUCCUAGUGUAGCGGUGAAAUGCGUAGAUAUUAGGAGGAACCCCAGUGGCGAAGGCGGCUUACUGGACUGUAACUGACGUUGAGGCUCGAAAGCGUGGGGAGCAAACAGGAUUAGAUACCCGGGUAGUC